rnacentral:rRNA from 1 species
UACGUAGGUGGCAAGCGUUGUCCGGAUUUAUUGGGUUUAAAGGGUGUGUAGGCGGUCCUAUAAGUCAGUGCUGAAAUUUCCCGGCUUAACCGGGAGGGUGGCAUUGAUACUGUAGGACUUGAGUAAAGUUGAGGUAAGCGGAAUUGACGGUGUAGCGGUGAAAUGCUUAGAUAUCGUCAAGAACACCUAUUGCGAAGGCAGCUUACUAAGCUUUAACUGACGCUGAGGCACGAAAGUGUGGGGAUCAAACAGG